rnacentral:rRNA from 1 species
UACGGAGGGGGCUAGCGUUGUUCGGAAUUACUGGGCGUAAAGCGCGCGUAGGCGGCUUUGUAAGUUAGAGGUGAAAGCCCGGAGCUUAACUCCGGAAUUGCCUUUAAGACUGCAUCGCUAGAAUUGUGGAGAGGUAAGUGGAAUUCCGAGUGUAGAGGUGAAAUUCGUAGAUAUUCGGAAGAACACCAGUGGCGAAGGCGACUUACUGGACACAUAUUGACGCUGGGGUGCGAAAGCGUGGGGAGCAAACAGG